rnacentral:rRNA from 1 species
GACGAACGCUGGCGGCGUGCCUAAUACAUGCAAGUAGAACGCUGAAGGAGGAGCUUGCUUCUCUGGAUGAGUUGCGAACGGGUGAGUAACGCGUAGGUAACCUGCCUGGUAGCGGGGGAUAACUAUUGGAAACGAUAGCUAAUACCGCAUAAUAUUGACUAUUGCAUGAUAGUCAGUUGAAAGGUGCAACUGCACCACUACCAGAUGGACCUGCGUUGUAUUAGCUAGUUGGUGGGGUAACGGCUCACCAAGGCGACGAUACAUAGCCGACCUGAGAGGGUGAUCGGCCACACUGGGACUGAGACACGGCCCAGACUCCUACGGGAGGCAGCAGUAGGGAAUCUUCGGCAAUGGACGGAAGUCUGACCGAGCAACGCCGCGUGAGUGAAGAAGGGUUUCGGAUCGUAAAGCUCGGUUGUAAGAGAAGAACGAGUGUGAGAGUGGAAAGCUCACACUGUGACGGUAUCUUACCAGAAAGGGACGGCUAACUACGUG